rnacentral:lncRNA from 1 species
GAAAGCUUUGUGUCUGUAGCCAUAGCCCUUGGCAAUCAGACAUCCUCCUCACUAAUGUGAGGUCAGGAGGGGACUAGAAGUGCUCAGAGGAUGGACUGCCUCUGGCCAGUGCAGGGGAGAGGCAGGGGUGUUGAGGCACAGGAGCCAGAUGAGAGGAACGUCAGCAGCAAAGCAGUAAGAAGAACAUGAGAGUUUCUUGAUAGCUUUGGACCAGGAAGAAGCGCUGAGCCUAGAAAGGCAGGAGGCACAGGACUGUGUGGGCUUCUGUCUGGCAGGGACCUAUGAGCUUCAUAGGGCGAAUGAAUCGGGGCAGGAUAAAGCAGAGGCCUCCACCCUCACAGUGCUCUUAGCCAUCUCAGGCUUCCCGGAACACUGCUACCAGGCUGCCUGCUGGAGCCCUUUACACUCACAGGCCUUCCUGCUUGGGUUCUCUUCUGCAGGCUGCGUAAACCAGUCCUGUUGUAGCCCUUGUAGCAUCUGCUGUAGUGAUCUGGUUUGGGUUUCAGUAUUACUUGCAAUGGUUUGGAAGGAAAUGGGAAGUUUGCCUUCUAACUACAUUUUCUUUUUGAUUCAAGAACCCUAGCAGUUCUACAACCACUGGGCCUAAAACUAAAAUAAAGGAAAAAUAAAUAAAAGGAAGCAAAAACAUCUAACUGGGAUGGCCUGGCAGCAUUGCCAGAGAGAGUCCUCAGGGGCCCAUGCUUGUUCUGUCUUUUGCUCUGCCAUCCCUAGGGUGGACAGCACGGAAGAGGCAGUACAUCUUAACAAAAUCAGGGUUCUGGAUGAAGGGAGGGGUGGUGAAUGGUUGCUGCAAUCAACAGUUCAUACUUCAAUGGAAAGAAGGUGGGAUUUGAUUCCUGGCUGCAAAUCUUCACUCUGUCACCUGCUAUCUGUGUGCCCUCAGUCUCCCAUCAAGGAGUGAUGUCUGUUUCUCCACUUCUUGAAUCUGGGCUGGCCUUGCCAAUAGCAUAUGGCAGAAGUGACAUCGUUCCAUUUCUGAGUCAAAGCCUGAGGAGGCCUUGCAUGCUUCUACUCUCUCUUGCAACCCUGCACUGCCACAUAUCAACAAGACUUAUCAACAAGCCUGGGAUAGCCUGCUAGAUGAUGAAAGAAAUAUGGCCCGCUUGCUCCCAUCACUCCAGCUGAUAGCCAGGCAACCCUAAGAAGCAAAGUCACCUAGCUGAUUAGUAGCUGACCACUGACACAAAAGUAAGAUCAUCUGAGACCAGAAGACAGCCCAUCUGAGCUCAGCCCAAAUUACUGACCCACAAAGUAAUAAUAAAUAAAUGGUUAUUAUUUUUAUGUCACUG